UACGUAGGGGGCAAGCGUUGUCCGGAAUCAUUGGGCGUAAAGAGCGUGUAGGCGGCCAGAUAAGUCCGCUGUGAAAACUCGAGGCUCAACUUCGAGCUGUCGGUGGAAACUAUUUGGCUAGAGUCCGGAAGAGGAGAGUGGAAUUCCUGGUGUAGCGGUGAAAUGCGCAGAUAUCAGGAAGAACACCCGUGGCGAAGGCGGCUCUCUGGCCCGAUACUGACGCUGAGGUGCGAAAGCGUGGGGAGCAAACAGG
rnacentral:rRNA from 1 species